rnacentral:rRNA from 1 species
GACAGAGGUGCCGAGCGUUAGGCGGAAUCACUGGGCUUAAAGCGUGUGUAGGCGGGCGGGCAAGUACCUUGUGAAAUCCCACGGCUCAACCGUGGAACGGCUGGGUAUACUGCCUGUCUUGAGCCAACUAGGGGCGAGCGGAACAGACGGUGGAGCGGUGGAAUGCGUAGAUAUCGUCUGGAACGCCAAAGGUGAAAACAGCUCGCUGGGGUUGUGCUGACGCUGAGACACGAAAGCCAGGGGAGCGAACGGG